rnacentral:rRNA from 1 species
GACUUGGUGUUGGGAAUCCUACGUGGGUGCCCAGUGCCGGAGAGAAGUUGUUAAGUCUGCCGCUUGGGUAGUACGAUCGCAAGACUGAAACUUAAAGGAAUUGGCGGGGGAGCACCGCAACGGGUGGAGCGUGCGGUUUAAUUGGAUUCAACGCCGGAAAACUCACCGGGGGCGACUGUUACAUGAAGGUCAGGUUGAUGACCUUACCAGAUUUUCAGAGAGGUGGUGCAUGGCCGUCGUCAGUUCGUACCGUAAGGCGUUCUGUCAAGUCAGAUAACGAACGAGACCCUCAUCCUUAUUUGCUAAUCCUUCCUUCGGGGGGGAAGCACUAUAAGGGGACCGCUGGCGCUAAGUCAGAGGAAGGAGAGGUCAACGGUAGGUCAGUAUGCCCCGAAUCUCCCGGGCAACACGCGCGCUACAAAGGUCGGGACAAUGAGUUCCAACCCCGAAAGGGGAAGGUAAUCUUCAAACCCGCCCAUAGUUCGGAUUGAGGGCUGUAACCCGCCCUCAUGAAGCUGGAAUCCGUAGUAAUCGCGGGUCAACAUCCCGCGGUGAAUGUGCCCCUGCUCCUUGCACACACCGCCCAUCAAACCACCCGAGUUGGGUCUGAAUGAGGGUCCCUCUUAUUGGGGAAUUCGAAUUUGGGUUCAGCGAGGAGGGUUAAGUCGUAACAAGGUAGCC